UGCCAAACAUAAAUUGACCUCACUCUGGGGU
rnacentral:piRNA from 1 species